GACGAACGCUGGCGGCGUGCUUAACACAUGCAAGUCGAACGGAAAGGCCCUGCUUUUGUGGGGUGCUCGAGUGGCGAACGGGUGAGUAACACGUGAGUAACCUGCCCUUGACUUUGGGAUAACUUCAGGAAACUGGGGCUAAUACCGGAUAGGAGCUCCUGCUGCAUGGUGGGGGUUGGAAAGUUUCGGCGGUUGGGGAUGGACUCGCGGCUUAUCAGCUUGUUGGUGGGGUAGUGGCUUACCAAGGCUUUGACGGGUAGCCGGCCUGAGAGGGUGACCGGCCACAUUGGGACUGAGAUACGGCCCAGACUCCUACGGGAGGCAGCAGUGGGGAAUAUUGAACAAUGGGCGGAAGCCUGAUGCAGCAACGCCGCGUGCGGGAUGACGGCCUUCGGGUUGUAAACCGCUUUCGCCUGUGACGAAGCGUGAGUGAAGGUAAUGGGUAAAGAAGCACCGGAUAAAUACGUG
rnacentral:rRNA from 1 species